GUAGUCGUGGCCUGAGUGGUUAAGGCGAUGGACUAGUAAUCCAUUGGGCUCUGCCCGUGCAUGUUCGAAUCCUGCAGACUACG
rnacentral:tRNA from 1 species